rnacentral:rRNA from 1 species
UCAUUACCGAGUUCAUGCCCUUACGGGUAGAUCUCCCACCCUGUGUUAUUAUUACCUUUGUUGCUUUGGCGGGCCGUCAGAUUUCGGUCAGGCUACCGGCUCCGGCUGGUAAGCGCCCGCCAGAGGACCCCAAACUCCUGAAUAUUAGUGUCGUCUGAGUACUAUAUAAUAGUUAAAACUUUCAACAACGGAUCUCUUGGUUCUGGCAUCGAUGAAGAACGCAGCGAAAUGCGAUAAGUAAUGUGAAUUGCAGAAUUCAGUGAAUCAUCGAAUCUUUGAACGCACAUUGCGCCCCUUGGUAUUCCGAGGGGCAUGCCUGUUCGAGCGUCAUUACAACCCUCAAGCACUGCUUGGUAUUGGGCUCCGCUGCUUAUACAGCGGGCCUUAAAAUUAGUGGCGGUGUCAUUAGGCCCUGAGCGUAGUAAAUAUCCUCGCUAUAGGGACUUGGUGAUUACUGGCCAGCAACCCCCACUUUCUAAGUUUGACCUC